AGAGUUUGAUCCUGGCUCAGGAUGAACGCUGGCGGCGUGCCUAACACAUGCAAGUCGAACGGAGCCUAAUCAGCAGAAGCGGACAGCUUGCUGGAAGCAGAAGCAGAAAAGGCUUAGUGGCGGACGGGUGAGUAACGCGUGUGUAACCUGGCCCAUACAGGGGGAUAACACUUAGAAAUAGGUGCUAAUACCGCAUAACAACAGAAAGCGCAUGCUUUGUGUUUGAAAACUGAGGUGGUAUGGGAUGGACCCGCGUCUGAUUAGCUGGUUGGCGGGGUAAUGGCCCACCAAGGCGACGAUCAGUAGCCGGCCUGAGAAGGUGGACGGCCACAUUGGGACUGAGACACGGCCCAAACUCCUACGGGAGGCAGCAGUGGGGAAUAUCGCACAAUGGGGGAAACCCUGAUGCAGCGACGCCGCGUGAGUGAAGAAGUAAUUCGUUAUGUAAAGCUCUAUCAGCAGGGAAGAAAAAUGACGGUACCUGAUUAAGAAGCCCCGGCUAACUACGUGCCAGCAGCC
rnacentral:rRNA from 1 species